CCUGCUCACUCUCUCUCUCUCUCUCUCUCUCUCAAAAAUAAAUAAACAUUAAAAAAAAUUGAAAAAAAACAUUAGAAUAUCAUAAGUCUCUAGGUUUUGUUUAAAUCCUGUGCAGGAUAUUAAUAUUUUUGUUCUAGCAGGCAAUAGAGGUGGUUGGGUUCAGGCUACAAAUUCUAACCACUAUUUUGUAGUUUCCAUGUCAAUUCUGUUUUCAAAGCAUUUGCAGUGCUAUUCGGAUCUGUCUUCUGUGUGUGCCACAAUCUGGGACACGUGUGGUGGUCUGUCCUUCAGUUCAGUCUCCGAGUCUUCGCUGUGCUGUCUGGGUCUGUUCUGUCCUUGUGUAGCCUGAGGGGGAGCCUAAGAGUCUCUAAUCAGCUUUACCUGUUACCUUUCCUGAGUUUCUCCUUCUCCAUAAUCUCUGGUACUUGCCGGCUCCCUGGACUUCCUCUUUGAGUCCUAUAUCCAGAAAGCUAGUGCUUUAGCUUUGCUGUUGCACAGGCUACUUCCUGGGAUAGGCCCGUGUCUGGGGCCCAGCAAUGGAGGGACAGAGAGGAAGCACCGACUAUGAUUUGUACCUCCUCCUGGGACCACAGCUUCUCUGUAGAAGAAGGUUUCCCUCCCUCAGAGAUGUUGGUGCCUGCGGGCCCCCACUGCCAUUGUAGGCAUUGCUGCUGCUGGGGUGGCAGGGCUUCCUGGGGCCGGGGCACUAGGGAACAGAGGAAAGAACAAAAGAUGGCAGACUUCCCUGAGACUCUCUGAGCGUUAGGAAAUGCUUUCCUGAUCCUUGAGCCAGAACAGAACUGAAGGGCUUCUGCAGGGCCCGGUGCCCAUUCUGAGUUUUAGGCUGCUUUACAUCUAGACCAGGGGAUUCUAGCAGGGGAAAAACAAAACGGAAAACACUCACUGCUGAUUCAGUGGUGCUUUGAAUUCUGGUCUUCUUUCCCAGUUCCCCUGCUUCUAUUUAUGGACUCCUCAAAUGGCGUUCCGUGUGUUCCAUCAGGUUUUAUAGCAGCAUUCAGUGAGAAAGGGUAGAAUGAACUUACUCCAUUUUACCUAGAGCUGGAAUAAUAUAUUUCAUUUGCUGUCAUGGACUGAAUGUUCAUGUCUCUCUAGAAUUCAUAUGUUGAAGCCCUAACCCCCAAUAUGAUGGUAGUUGGAGAGAGGGCCUUUCGGAGGUAAUUGGGGUUAGAUGAAGCCAUGGAGAUUGAGCCCUUCUGAUGGGAUUAGUGUCCUUAUAGAAAGGGCCACCAGCGUGUACUUGGUGUCAUGCUCUCUCUCCCUCCCACCCUCCGUGCCCUGUGAGGUCACAGAGAGAAGGUGGCCAUCUCCGGGCCAGGAAGGGCACCCUCUCCGGGAAUUCAGUUGGCCACCACCUUGAUACUGGAUUUCACAGCCUUCAGAGCUAUAAGAAAAUAAAUUUCUGUUGUGUAAGCCGUCCGGCCUAAGGUACUUUGUUGUGGCCAUCCAAGCUAAUUGAAGACAUUUGCCAAAAUACUCAUGAAAAAAAUUCAUGACACCUUGAUUGUGUCACUCUCCCCAACUCAUAGCCUUUCCGUGUAGUUCUGCAUAGUUCCACCGAACAUGUUUUCCGCAAGGUUUGCUAACAAUUUAUAUUUAGCUGAAUUUCCAGAAAGAGGAAACGAUUCCCCAAAACUAGACUGGUAGCUUUAGUGCUUUUUAUUGUUUAGUUAUAAUACCUCAAAUAUAUUUUCUGGUAUGUCAGUGUUUUGAAUUAAUUUACUGCUUGAUUGUUUGGGUCCUAGUCCCCUUGACUAAGUUUGCUUCAGAUUUCACUGUAAAUAAUCUCAAGGCUAAGUGACCUACGUCCUGCAUGGACCAAUUCUUUUUAUUGUUUAUUUCAUGCCUUGGAGAAGCUUAUUUCAAAGAGCAUGUGGUUAGAAGGCCACAGUCCCCGCUUCUCCCCCCACACAGCACGGUAAAACACAGGACACUAGAGUAGGUGCCGGAUAAACCGUACUUGAGUGGGGAGCAGAAAGGAACCACGGGACCCUUCUCUGCUCACUUAACAGAAGCCAUCUCAGGUGUUCCCUUUUCCUUUUCCCUUUGCCGCAGUCUUCUACCUCUGUGAACUUGUGCUAAUCGGUAGAGCUGGCUUUGAAGAGCUGCUGAUCGUUGAGGGUAAAGCCUUUCCCUCAUCCAGCUUGCGUCUCUUCCUGGGUGGGGGGGGGGGGCUUGCCCCGCCCCCGCUCCUACUCCACCUGUCCAUACUGUCCUGCGGGUCAGGGCCAGCGCCCAGCUUUGACUCUGGCCCCGCUGGCCAGAAGGCCUGGCUUGACUUGCCUGGGGCUCCCUUGAAAAUAAAAGCCCAUGACUUAUUCUAGGAUAAGAACAGUGUUGUUUCCCCCUCCCACACUAGAGUUUUGUCAAAGCGUUACAUUAUUCCAGAGUUAAUACGUAGGAUUUGCGAAGCUAAACCCCAGUUGUGACUUGGCCACUUCCAUCUUAGACAACAUCAAAAGAGCAGCAUUAGAGAAAAAUAAUUCCACCAGAGCUUGUUUGAAAGAGAAAAGUUAGCCUCUUGGAUAGAAUUAGGUGUCCACGUUCCGGGAAUUCUGGUUAUUUGUGCCGCAGCUGAGAAAAGGUAUAUUACUGUGUUUGGUUUGUAAUUAAAACGGUCUCGUGGGCCUACCCCCCACCUCCCCACCCUGGGGGCACAGGAUAUUCACUAAGACUGGCACUUCCUCUGUUGAUGUUCCCUUUGGGAAACAAAAGAUAGAAAUGGCGAUUAAGGUCUUUCCAGAUAAUAUCCCACACCAAAGUAUUGACAGAAAAGGUUUGUAUAACAUGACAUGAUAACGUAAUGUGAUGUAUGAAUAUUAUUACCUAAGGGUUAUAUUAUACCCAGCCGAUGAGUUAUAUUCGUAUGGUUAUGUGUAUAUUUGUAAAAGUGCGUAGCCUUUCAGUGGUUGACUUUAUAAAUACUUAACCGAGUGUCUGUCUGGUAUGUAAAAAACUGUGCAGGGCAUUGUGAGAAGUAUGGAGGUUUACACAAGAUGGGUUUUUUUUGUUUGUUUGUUUUCUAGCCUUCAAGAAAGUUCAGUGCAGAGUGGGAGUAGCAUCACCGAAGUGACGACCGCGACGUAGUUAGGAGUUGUCAGGAUUUAAACUAGAGAGUGUGGAUGAGGUUUUGACUCUGAAUGUUACUGUACCUUCUGAGGGCUGUGCAUCGGGCAGGUUCUCGGGAAGCCCCUGGGGGGUUUGUUGCUUGCCCAGUUGGGCUGAGAUUAGCAUCCUUCUAGUUUGUAGGAGACGUUAUCCAGGAAGCCAUCUAGUCCGUGGGGGAGGUGGCAUCUCCUGAGUCUUGCUGCCACAGAGAACUUUGAAUGGGUGGAAAAAGGAGUUUGUGAGCAUUCUUGCUAUGUCACAAUGUUGGACAUGUGACUUAAGAGAAGCAUGUGACAGGUCAGUGUGAUUGGACCAUUUGAUUACCAAGUCCAGACUCUAGAGUGACUCAGUGGCCAAUGCUGCUUUUUUAAACUGUUAACUGAAACAUUGGUAUGACAGAAGAUCUAUGAAUAAAAGACCUAAAAUCCUUGUAAACGUACUAUUUAUUGGGACAUCCUGAAGGACUGGGGGAAUCCUUAUUCCCGUAUCAUCUCCCAUCUUGCACUUGUUGAUAAUUGUUCGACAUUCAUUCGGCAUUUACUGGAAGCUUCCAGAUGGCGGACAGCGUGCAAGGUGUCUGAGAUGGCAGAAGGAAAAUACAGAAGAACAGGCUGUAUCUCCUCACUCGGGGUACCUGUAUGAAGGCUGCUUCACUCUGGAGGUUUGGACCUGUGUGGGCAUGUCUGGUAAAAUGAUAGGAGGAUCUGCUGGGAGAGGACUUGCAGAAUACUGGGGACCUUAGCGAGAAAAUUCCUGAAAGUGGAAGACUGUAGAAAUGGUAAUAAGGCCUCAGCUGUUAUGAGAGAGGGGUGACUUCAGUACUUGUGGUAAAGAGGCAGGAUAGGUAGGGUCAAGUGGUAAGAAAUACAGGAGAUAUAUUUGUGUAGAUCACUUAACAGUAGUAUGUAAUCAGUAAAUACUCAUUAUUAUUUGUAUUAUAGUACUCACCCCAGGCUGUCCCUAUAAAAACACAUAUGCAGAGACCUAAGAGACAAAGUGUGAAGAUGCCGGAGGUCUUCAUCAGACCAUGUAGAUGUCCUUUAAUGACCUUAUAGAUUGCUAAAUGUUACCGACAAAUGUUAAUAAUGAUAA